GACGAACGCUGGCGGCGUGCCUAAUACAUGCAAGUAGAACGCUGAAGAGAGGAGCUUACUCUUCUUGGAUGAGUUGCGAACGGGUGAGUAACGCGUAGGUAACCUGUCUUGUAGCGGGGGAUAACUAUUGGAAACGAUAGCUAAUACCGCAUAACAAUGGAUGACACAUGUCAUUUAUUUGAAAGGGGCAAUUGCUCCACUACAAGAUGGACCUGCGUUGUAUUAGCUAGUAGGUGAGGUAAUGGCUCACCUAGGCGACGAUACAUAGCCGACCUGAGAGGGUGAUCGGCCACACUGGGACUGAGACACGGCCCAGACUCCUACGGGAGGCAGCAGUAGGGAAUCUUCGGCAAUGGGGGCAACCCUGACCGAGCAACGCCGCGUGAGUGAAGAAGGUUUUCGGAUCGCAAAGCUCUGUUGUAAGUCAAGAACGGGUGUGAGAGUGGAAAGUUCACACUGUGACGGUAGCUUACCAGAAAGGGACGGCUAACUACGUG
rnacentral:rRNA from 1 species